UUGUUUGUUUUAAGUUUGGGAAUAUAUUCAUGUUGCUUGUACACCAUGGAGAGCAAACGACCAGUAAAUUAUUAGUUGUAACAAAAACAGUUGCUUACUUGAAGCCAAGACAUUCUGACAACAGUCCUUUCUGCCUCAUUCACAGGAAGAAAAUAACAGAUACCAAGGGAAUCUGGCCCGAUCCCUAGCCUGUCUUCUCUGUACAGAGAGCUCAUAAGCUGAGGGUUCAUGUGGAGUGGAAACAGAGAGUUCAUUAAACACCAAAAGUGGGGGAAAAGGAGAGCUGGGAGAUGAGCAUAAAAUGGCGGCCGCUAGGAAGCCAGUGCCAUUUUAUUAAACACACAUGAUGAUCUUCAAGCUUGAAGACAGCUAGCCAGAGACAGACUGAGAAGAUUGAUUUAACUCUGUCCUUCAAAGAAAUCCAAGCUGCCAUUGCCAAAGCCUCCAUUAACCAUCCCUGGACUUAUAGCUUCGCUCCCUGGGCUGCCUACCUAGGCUUCGCCGGUCCUCAGCAACACGUGGCCACUGCUUCACAACCUUAAGACUAUAGUGCACAGCGCCAAAUCUAGCGUCUCCUUGCAGGAAGACUGGCUGCAUAAAGUGGGGGACUUGCAAGAUUUACAUAGGAACCUCCAACAGAAGGAGUCCUGUAAAAUCAGAGCUCAAGUCGCCAGCAAACUUCGAGUGGAUCCCAGUAGUCCAUAACAGGUUACGCAACGCCUAGUGACUUAGUGUUGCUGACUUGUUUGCAGACCUUCAAAGCAGUUGACAGAAAACAAAACAAAACAAAAACCACACAGAGAAGAAAACUUUGA